AAGCCUAUGAGGACAUCAGAUUUUAAAAGAACACCAUCUUUCGGGACUGAUCAACUUUUGAUGAUAUUUCUGCAAUUCUGAGGCUA
rfam:Eutrema salsugineum unplaced genomic scaffold scaffold_10, whole genome shotgun sequence.